GACGAACGCUGGCGGCGUGCCUAAUACAUGCAAGUCGAACGAGAGCAACCGGUGCUUGCACUGGUCAAUCUAGUGGCGAACGGGUGAGUAACACGUGGGUAACCUGCCCAUCAGAGGGGGAUAACAUCCGGAAACGGAUGCUAAAACCGCAUAGGUCUUCGAACCGCAUGGUUUGAAGAGGAAAAGAGGCGCAAGCUUCUGCUGAUGGAUGGACCCGCGGUGCAUUAGCUAGUUGGUGAGGUAACGGCUCACCAAGGCCGUGAUGCAUAGCCGACCUGAGAGGGUGAUUGGCCACAUUGGGACUGAGACACGGCCCAAACUCCUACGGGAGGCAGCAGUAGGGAAUCUUCCGCAAUGGACGCAAGUCUGACGGAGCAACGCCGCGUGAGUGAAGAAGGUUUUCGGAUCGUAAAACUCUGUUGUUAGAGAAGAACAAGUGCUAGAGUAACUGUUAGCGCCUUGACGGUAGCUAACCAGAAAGCCACGGCUAACUACGUG
rnacentral:rRNA from 1 species